rfam:Cicer arietinum chromosome Ca4, whole genome shotgun sequence.
GCAAUGACUCUACCCUAUUGCUUUUUGAAUGUGUUCUCCAGAUAUUAAAUAACAGAUGUUUAAUGCUUGCACUACUUUCUAUGUGGAUAGCAAGUUUGGCUUGUCUUUUACAUUU